rnacentral:rRNA from 1 species
GAUAAACGCUGGCGGCGUGCCUAACACAUGCAAGUCGAACGAUCCCGCAAGGGAGAGUGGCGGAAGGGUGAGUAACACGUGGGAAUCUACCUCCUCGCAGGGAACAACCUCUCGAAAGAGAGGCUAAUACCCAAAAGGGUCAGUAAUGAUCAGAGUCGAAAGGCGUGAGGAGAGGAGCCCGCGGCCCAUCAGCUAGUUGGUGAGGUAAUGGCUUACCAAGGCUACGACGGGUAGGGGAUCUGAGAGGAUGUCCCCCACACUGGAACUGAAACACGGUCCAGACGCCUACGGGUGGCAGCAGUGAGGAAUAUUGGACAAUGGGCGAAAGCCCGACCCAGCAACGCCGCGUGGAGGAUGAAGGCCUUCGGGUCGUAAACUUCUUUAGAGGGAGACGAGAAAGGACGGUAUCCCUAGAAUAAGCGACGGCAAACUACGUGCCAGCA